CUUCAUGAGUUGUUUUGAAGUCGUGCCUGCCCACUGAUAAGUUUGAAGGGCCGCGGUACUUUGACCGUGCAAAGGUAGCAUAAUCAUUAGUCUUUUAAUUAUAGACUGGAAUGAAGGGUUUGACGAGGUAAAUACUGUCUUUUUAAUAAAAAGAUGAAUUUCACUUUUGAGUUAAAAGGCUUAAAUGAUAGUAAGGGACGAGAAGACCCUAUAGAUCUUUAUCAUUUGCCUGAUGUUUUUUGUUUAGAGUGUUGUUUAAAAUAGAAGGUAAAAUGAUUUGGUUGGGGUGAUGUGAGAAUUUAAUUAACUUCUUUUGUAUAUUAUUUUUAUUGGUAGGUUAUUGAUCCUUUUUUAUGGAUUGAAGAUUAAGAUACCUUAGGGAUAACAGCGUUAUUUUGUUUGAGAGUUCUUAUUGACAACAAAGAUUGCGACCUCGAUGUUGGAUUAAGAUAAA
rnacentral:rRNA from 1 species